UACGAAGGGGACUAGCGUUGUUCGGAAUCACUGGGCGUAAAGCGCACGUAGGCGGAUAUGUCAGUCAGGGGUGAAAUCCCGGGGCUCAACCUCGGAACUGCCUUUGAUACAGCAUGUCUUGAGUCCGAUAGAGGUGGGUGGAAUUCCUAGUGUAGAGGUGAAAUUCGUAGAUAUUAGGAAGAACACCGGUGGCGAAGGCGGCCCACUGGAUCGGUACUGACGCUGAGGUGCGAAAGCGUGGGAGCAAACAGG
rnacentral:rRNA from 1 species